rnacentral:rRNA from 1 species
GGUUAAGCGACUAAGCGUACACGGUGGAUGCCCUGGCAGUCAGAGGCGAUGAAGGACGUGCUAAUCUGCGAUAAGCGUCGGUAAGGUGAUAUGAACCGUUAUAACCGGCGAUUUCCGAAUGGGGAAACCCAGUGUGUUUCGACACACUAUCAUUAACUGAAUCCAUAGGUUAAUGAGGCGAACCGGGGGAACUGAAACAUCUAAGUACCCCGAGGAAAAGAAAUCAACCGAGAUUCCCCCAGUAGCGGCGAGCGAACGGGGAGCAGCCCAGAGCCUGAAUCAGUGUGUGUGUUAGUGGAAGCGUCUGGAAAGGCGCGCGAUACAGGGUGACAGCCCCGUACACAAAAAUGCACAUAUUGUGAGCUCGAUGAGUAGGGCGGGACACGUGGUAUCCUGUCUGAAUAUGGGGGGACCAUCCUCCAAGGCUAAAUACUCCUGACUGACCGAUAGUGAACCAGUACCGUGAGGGAAAGGCGAAAAGAACCCCGGCGAGGGGAGUGAAAAAGAACCUGAAACCGUGUACGUACAAGCAGUGGGAGCACGCUUAGGCGUGUGACUGCGUACCUUUUGUAUAAUGGGUCAGCGACUUAUAUUCUGUAGCAAGGUUAACCGAAUAGGGGAGCCGAAGGGAAACCGAGUCUUAACUGGGCGUUAAGUUGCAGGGUAUAGACCCGAAACCCGGUGAUCUAGCCAUGGGCAGGUUGAAGGUUGGGUAACACUAACUGGAGGACCGAACCGACUAAUGUUGAAAAAUUAGCGGAUGACUUGUGGCUGGGGGUGAAAGGCCAAUCAAACCGGGAGAUAGCUGGUUCUCCCCGAAAGCUAUUUAGGUAGCGCCUCGUGAAUUCAUCUCCGGGGGUAGAGCACUGUUUCGGCAAGGGGGUCAUCCCGACUUACCAACCCGAUGCAAACUGCGAAUACCGGAGAAUGUUAUCACGGGAGACACACGGCGGGUGCUAACGUCCGUCGUGAAGAGGGAAACAACCCAGACCGCCAGCUAAGGUCCCAAAGUCAUGGUUAAGUGGGAAACGAUGUGGGAAGGCCCAGACAGCCAGGAUGUUGGCUUAGAAGCAGCCAUCAUUUAAAGAAAGCGUAAUAGCUCACUGGUCGAGUCGGCCUGCGCGGAAGAUGUAACGGGGCUAAACCAUGCACCGAAGCUGCGGCAGCGACACUGUGUGUUGUUGGGUAGGGGAGCGUUCUGUAAGCCUGUGAAGGUGUGCUGUGAGGCAUGCUGGAGGUAUCAGAAGUGCGAAUGCUGACAUAAGUAACGAUAAAGCGGGUGAAAAGCCCGCUCGCCGGAAGACCAAGGGUUCCUGUCCAACGUUAAUCGGGGCAGGGUGAGUCGACCCCUAAGGCGAGGCCGAAAGGCGUAGUCGAUGGGAAACAGGUUAAUAUUCCUGUACUUGGUGUUACUGCGAAGGGGGGACGGAGAAGGCUAUGUUGGCCGGGCGACGGUUGUCCCGGUUUAAGCGUGUAGGCUGGUUUUCCAGGCAAAUCCGGAAAAUCAAGGCUGAGGCGUGAUGACGAGGCACUACGGUGCUGAAGCAACAAAUGCCCUGCUUCCAGGAAAAGCCUCUAAGCAUCAGGUAACAUCAAAUCGUACCCCAAACCGACACAGGUGGUCAGGUAGAGAAUACCAAGGCGCUUGAGAGAACUCGGGUGAAGGAACUAGGCAAAAUGGUGCCGUAACUUCGGGAGAAGGCACGCUGAUAUGUAGGUGAAGCGACUUGCUCGUGGAGCUGAAAUCAGUCGAAGAUACCAGCUGGCUGCAACUGUUUAUUAAAAACACAGCACUGUGCAAACACGAAAGUGGACGUAUACGGUGUGACGCCUGCCCGGUGCCGGAAGGUUAAUUGAUGGGGUCAGCGCAAGCGAAGCUCUUGAUCGAAGCCCCGGUAAACGGCGGCCGUAACUAUAACGGUCCUAAGGUAGCGAAAUUCCUUGUCGGGUAAGUUCCGACCUGCACGAAUGGCGUAAUGAUGGCCAGGCUGUCUCCACCCGAGACUCAGUGAAAUUGAACUCGCUGUGAAGAUGCAGUGUACCCGCGGCAAGACGGAAAGACCCCGUGAACCUUUACUAUAGCUUGACACUGAACAUUGAGCCUUGAUGUGUAGGAUAGGUGGGAGGCUU